GCUCCGGUGGCCAUGUGGUUAGAGUGUCCGCCUUGGAUGCGGGAGGCCGAGGGUUUGAAUCCCGGCCGAGUCA